GUGCCAGCAGCCGCGGUAAAACGUAGGGGGCUAGCGUUGCCCGGAUUCACUGGGCGUAAAGCGGGUGUAGGCGGUUCUUUAAGUCGGAUGUGAAAUCCAGCGGCCCAACCGCUGAAUUGCAUCCGAUACUGGGGAACUUGAGGACGGUAGAGGUCGGUGGAAUAUCCGGUGUACCGGUGAAAUGGACAGAUAUCGGAUGGAACACCAGUGGCGAAGGCGGCCGACUGGGCCGAUCCUGACGCUGAGACCCGAAAGCUAGGGUAGCGAACCGGAUUAGAUACCCUGGUAGUCC
rnacentral:rRNA from 1 species